GAUGAAGAACGCAGCGAAAUGCGAUAAGUAAUGUGAAUUGCAGAAUUCAGUGAAUCAUCGAAUCUUUGAACGCACAUUGCGCCCGCCAGUAUUCUGGCGGGCAUGCCUGUUCGAGCGUCUUUUCAACCAUCAAGCCCCCGGCUUGUGUUGGGGACCUGCGGCUGCCGCAGGCCCUGAAAACCAGUGGCGGGCUCGCUGUCACACCGAGCGUAGUAGAUUUUCAUCUCGCUCAGGGCGUGCUGCGGGUUCCGGCCGUAAAAAGCCUUAUUUACCCAAGGUUGACCUCGGAUCAGGUAGGAAGACCCGCUGAACUUAAGCAUAUCAAUAAGCGGAGGA
rnacentral:misc_RNA from 1 species